rnacentral:rRNA from 1 species
AUGGCCGCACCGCCGCCGCCGGCGGCGGCGCUCCCGGACGAGCUCGUCCAAGAGAUCCUCGCCCGCCUCCCGCCUGACGACCCAGCCUCCCUCCUCCGCGCGUCCCUCGUAUGCAAGGCCUGGGGCCUCGCCGUCUCCCACCCCGGAUUCCGCCGCCGCCUCCACGAGCUCCACCAAGCACCCCCCUUGCUUGGGUUCCUCCCCAGCUGGGCCAGCGAUGACACCUGCACCUUCAUCCCCACCACGGCCUCGUCCUUCUCCCUCCACGCUCCGGACUGGCACUCGUGCCGGGCCGUCGACUGCCGCCACGGCCGCGCCCUCUUCCUCUCCGUGAACCAGCACGCCGAGACACUCCUCGUGUGGGAGCCCAUCACCGGCGCCCAGAACCGCCUACCUGUGCCCGCGGCGUACGACAGCGCGAAGCCAUUUCCGGGCGCGCUGAUGUACUCUAACGCGGCGGUGUUGUGCGCAGCGGACCGGUGCGACCACCGCGACUGCCUCGGGGGUCCUUUCCGCGUGGUCUUCGUCUUCGAGGAGCACACCAAAGAGGAGCAAAAUGUCACAUCGGCGUGCGUGUACUCGCCGGAGGCCGGUGCCUGGGGCGAACUGACCUCGUUGCACACCGAGCUCUCCAUAGAAAUCACAGACAAUUCCAGCGUGCUCGUUGGCAGCUCUCUGCUCUACUUCCGGGCCAGCGCGUCCGUCCUGGAGUACGACUUGGCAAGGCAUGCCCUGACUCUGUUCGUCCCACCAGACAAUGACGAGAACGUACGUUUUAAUCUCAUUCUGACGGAGGACGGUCGACUAGGACUUAUUGAAGAUUGGUGUCCGCAUCUCAAAUUGUGGACACUGGAGAAAGGGAGUGAGGACACUGAUGCACAAUGGGUGCUGAGCCGUGUCAUCAACCUGCACAAUUUUUUCCCAGCUAGUGCUCGCUUGAGUGAAGGUUAUGGAGUGUGGGUGAUGGGCUUCGUCGAGGGAGCUAAUGUCAUUUUCGUUAACUCACUUGCUGGCGUCUUCACGAUUGAGCUACAAUCAGAGGAGGUGAGGAAGGUGUUUGUUCAUAGUAGCUUUGGUAAUUUGGUUCCGGUUGUCACCUUCUACACUCCUGUGCUCCGAGGCGUCCAACAGCAUCUGCUGGUGUCAAAGCCUAGUGGGGAGGCAGGUGGUGAGGAGGGGGGAGAGGGGGGGAAAACAAUAGAUCAGGCACAAAAGCUGUUCGACAAGGGGUCCAAUGCUAUCAGUAAGGGAGACUUUGUGAACACCUUCAAAUGCGUCAGCCACGACCACAAUAUCAGGUCUCCAGGCCAUGUGGAAGUUGUUCCAGUCUGUGCUAGCAUGUUUGGCAAAUAUGUAUGUGCAUACAAAGCUCAAGAAGUGAAUGGUUCUUUGGAUUCUGUCCCCAGGAGUGCACCAAUUGAAGAAUUGGUGAAGGGCACAACCAGGGAAGAUGAUGCUGGGGACUCAAAGACCUCUGGUAGCAGUGUUGAAGAUGCUGCUCCAUCUUCGGAGAAAUGUAAUUCUCAAGAAGUGCUACGCUGA